AGGCUAACAAAUUGAGGUGAGGCAGCUGGAGCGCUAGGACAGUGCCCGCACGGAGCAUGCUCAGAACCAGAGGGAAAAGGUAGCUGGGGCUGCAGCCGAGGCACCACUAACUGCUCAGGCAGCUCCGCUCAUCCAGGGGACGGGAGCGGAGAGCUCGCUUCCUUAGCAGACGGAGCGGGAUGAUUGCCUCCCUUCUGUCUGGGGAAAGCAUGAGGCACCAAGGGAGCUAUUCCUGGACACUUUUUCCUUUGUGGUCUGCCUACAUGUGCUGAAACCCUGAUUUAGGAGUGAUAAUACUUUGCAGGAUUAAGGAGGCUGCAGAUGCUCUGAAUUAAUGUUCUCUUUUGGACCCUGCCGUGUCCCGCCAUGUGCCCGAGACCGGGUGCCGCCCGCCCACCUCCACUGCCCAGGCCCGGGCCCCUGCCCCCGUCCACGCACU
rnacentral:lncRNA from 1 species